UGAUCCUUUGCUAGUUACGGCAAUUUUGUUAGUGUCAUUAAGCAAUAUGGCGCACUUCAAAUUCUUCCGGCUUCAUGCGCCAUUGGGAGUUUAACAUAGGAAUAAGUAGAUGCAGGGUUCGAAAUUAACAUCCGCCAAACGCGAGUAGAUUUUCCGUUUGGCGAGUAAAUCUCAGAAGGCUAUCCGCCAUACUGGGGGGUAAAUGUUUGUACCAAAAUAGUAAUGUAAUAAAAUAUCUGGCAUGAUGGCUCGGAGAAAAUUACUCGUUUGCCAGUCACAGACCGUCUCUAGUGCUCCUAGUUUCGCGGCACUGUUUACCAUACGGGACAUCAGCUACUCUACAUCGCUCACUUGCCACGGGUCUGCUGCUAGCUACUGUUCAUUAAAUAGCUGUUAAGUGGCGACAUUUACCUGGAGUAAGCCAACCUUUGAAACGAAAACCCACCGACGAAAAGGAGGACGAAUCUUUAAAAAAUAACGUUUUGUGAGAAAUGGAGGUUUGGAGAUAAAGGAGUUUCAAGAGGCUGGCUACAGUAUGAUGCUGAGGCUAUGGUGAUGAGUUGUUCUGUGUGUCGCCAGUAUGCUAAAGAUGAAAGCAGAAACAACUCGUUUGUCAUCGGAAAUAAAACUAUGAAGCUUGAGAACAUUCGUGACCACGAACUCAGGAAUGGUCACUUGCCUGCGUGUUUGUGUCCCGGGCUCAAACGGAGCCUCUCCUCUUGACACCAUCUGUGACGGCGCUAAUGGCAAUGUCAGAGCAGACCAGAACGAAGUUGAAGAUACUGUUUAGGACUGUACAUGCCAUUGGAAAGAAAGCGAUACCUCUUUCUGAUUUCGAGUGGAUGUGCAAUUUGGAUGAAAAAAAAGGAAUCGCUGUAUAUAGAAAUGAGAAGCAGGCCAAAUAGUUUAUGCACCAUAUUGCAAAGGUGGAGAGAAACAACAUCAGAGAAUCUGAAAAACACCAAAUUUGUCUCCAUAUCAGAUGGCUCCACAGACAGUUCUGUGAAAGAGGAGUUAGUUUGACAGAUUCUGUCACAAGGGCAAGAUCAAGUCGAAGAUUGUUGGCAUCAAGUCGGUGGCGAAGGCAGACGUGGCACACAUAAGCAACACCAUCAGUGCCAUCAUGGAAGGAGGGUGUGAUGAGUGGGGGAGCAAGUUGGUUGCCCUGGGAACAGAGUGAUGACCGGAGCCAAGAAUGGUGUGGUCAGCCGGAUGAAGGGGUACAGGGCCAACAUCAUCUGCAUCCACUGUAUGGCACACUGCCUUGAACUGACCUUUUCUGAUGCCAUCCAGUCCAACGUGAUGUUUCAGAAAAUAGAAGACCUCCUCAAUGGGCUCUACAUGUUCUACCACACCAGUCCACUGAACAGGGCAAACCUGGUAAACAGCUUCCAGGAUCUUGGGCACACACAACUGGUGGCCACCAGAAUUGGCGGGACCCGAUGGGUAGGACACCUAUUACGUGCACUGGACCACUUCCUGCGAGGUUACCAGGGGCUUGUCCAGCACCUGGAACAGAUUCAAUCUGCUGAUGCCCAAAAUGUCAGAGGUGUCCAGCAGGCCAAGGCCAGGAAAUACUACAGUACUGCAAGGGAGGCUGUUGUUAUCCGCUUCUGUGGCUUCCUGCAUGACACACUGACACACCUGAGCAACCUAUCCGCCUGUCUGCAGAGGUCCACCAUCACCAUAGCAGAAGCCCACAGCUCCUUGUGCUCAACACAGGCAUUACUUAAUUAAGAAGUACAAAACCAGGUUCCAGGAUGCCAGUGUAGGGGUCCUGUGUGCCACCAAGCUGGUCAGCUUCACCAACUGGCCAGAGUCAGGAGAUGCAGCAGCAGGUUACUUUAUGUUUUGUAUUACCGGGCAAUUAGGUUCAUGAUCAUAUUUUUAUAGUUUGAGAAUUAAAACUGCAUGAUGCUUGUUGUAAUGUAUACAAUUAUUCUAGAUUUUGUUGACUGAACUGGAAACCCUGGUGGACCACUUCAAGCCUGUGCUGGAGACCUCUGGCAUCCAUGUUGAAAGAAUCCCUGACCAGUGGACUGUCCUGAAAGUGCUGAUGUACCAAGAGCCCCAGUCCCUGCAGAAGAUGUCCUGGUUCCAUGUCAACAGAAGCCAUCAGCAUUCCUUACCUGAUUUGCUAGCAUUGGUUGACCUGGUCCUGUCCUUCCCUGCCUCCACAGCUGAAUGUGAAAGAGGUUUUAAUACCAUGAAACAGGUGAAAACCGAUUGGCGGUCCAACCUAAAGUCUGAUACACUGUCAGAUCUCUUUAUGGUCCAGCUGUCCUCUCCAGAGAUCAGGGAGUAUGAUCCGAUAAAAGCUGUGAUGCUGUGGCACCAGGUCUGUCAGGAGGCCAGACUUCAAGGACCGUGCAAAGAGGGUGAUUGCGGUAGAGAGUGUCAUGGCUGACUAGGUGUGUAGAAGGAAUCAAACGCAGAGAGCAGAGAGGUCCAGUGGAAAGAUGCACUUUAAUGCAGCACCAAAAGUAAAUGCCCAACCACGCAGGGCGCAAAACACUGACCAACCCAAUACAACGGGUAACACGGUUCAGAGCACAAAAAACAACACCAAACGACACAACCGUGAACAUCAAAAUAAUCCCGCACAACAAAGGGACGGGUUUCACAACCUAAAUAGGGAAGUAAAGCAAACACACACCAACAAGGAACAGGUGUAACUAAUUAGACAAAACUAACCGAAAAGAAAAAGGAAUCGGUGACGACGACCACCGAGCACCACCCGAACAGGCGGAGGAGCCAACUUCGGCAGGAGUAGUGACAGAGAGUGAGGAGUCUGAUGAGGUUUAAGUUGAUUAAAAUGAUUAAGCAUCUGAUAGGUAUACAAAACCUUAACAUUUACUUUUGUUUGAGCCUUAAGUACAUUUAAUAGCAAAUACUUCAGUGGAAUUUUGAGUUCAAGACUUUUUCAGUAGUAUUCAGGCUGGGAAAUUAAAUCUAGCCAUAUCCAAAAAUAACCAGCAUCUGAUAAGUCUCUAUUUUACCUGUAUUUUUUCAGGGAUUUUCUACUGAAGUAAAGGAUUUGUAGAACUGUUUCCCCUUUGUGUCAGGAGAGCACCAGUUCUAUGUACUCUCAUAAUUGUAUCUUACCAUUGUUGUCCUGUUUUGACUUCUAUGUACACUUAUUCAUUGUAUUUGAUAUGUUUUGUUUAUUUCAUUGUGUGCCCACUGUUUGGCAUUUUUGCACUCUGUAGAGCACUUUUGGUCAACUACAGUUGUUUUUAAAUGUGCUCUACAAAUACACUUGAUUUGUUUAACCGUUGAUCAAUAUAUAAAAUAAUUUUGUUUAAAA